rnacentral:rRNA from 1 species
GGACUACCAGGGUUUCUAAUCCUGUUUGCUCCCCUAGCUUUCGCAGAUCAGCGUCAGUGAUGGUCCAGAAGACUGCUUUCGCCAUAGGUAUUCCUCCCGAUAUCUACGCAUUUCACCGCUACACCGGGAAUUCCAUCUUCCUCUACCACACUCUAGCCUGAUAGUUUCCGUUGACCUCUCCCAGUUAAGCCGGGAGCUUUCACAACAGACUUAUCAAACCGCCUACCUGCGCUUUACGCCUAGUGAUUCCGAGUAUCGCUUGCCACCUACGUAUUACCGCGGCUGCUGGCAC